rnacentral:rRNA from 1 species
CCUACGGGAGGCAGCAGUGAGGAAUAUUGGUCAAUGGACGAGAGUCUGAACCAGCCAAGUAGCGUGAAGGAUGACUGCCCUAUGGGUUGUAAACUUCUUUUAUAUGGGAAUAAAAUGUUCCACGUGUGGGAUUUUGUAUGUACCAUAUGAAUAAGGAUCGGCUAACUCCGUGCCAGCAGCCGCGGUAAUACGGAGGAUCCGAGCGUUAUCCGGAUUUAUUGGGUUUAAAGGGAGCGUAGGUGGAUUGUUAAGUCAGUUGUGAAAGUUUGCGGCUCAACCGUAAAAUUGCAGUUGAAACUGGCAGUCUUGAGUACAGUAGAGGUGGGCGGAAUUCGUGGUGGAGCGGUGAAAUGCUUAGAUAUCACGAAGAACUCCGAUUGCGAAGGCAGUUCACUGGACUGCAACUGACACUGAGGCUCGAAAGUGUGGGUAUCAAACAGGAUUAGAUAUCCGGGUAGUC